rnacentral:misc_RNA from 1 species
AAUAUGCCUUGACAGAAGAAACCUGUACCAACAACCCAUAUAUCAUUACACAAUAGAGCAACCCAUACAUGCAUACGUAAAAACUCUCACCCACUCAUCAAACUAUAUACUCAACUCAACCAACUGGGGUUAAGCUAUAUGAAUCCAUUUCCCCCACUCCACUAGAUUUGGGGCUACAUCUUCAGAGAAAAACGAAACUAUAAAUGUAAGCCACCUAUUUAAGCAGUAAUCUAAAAGAAGCCUCAAAUUAAAAUAUUUUUACAAAGUCAAGACAUCACAGGUCCACAAAGU